rnacentral:rRNA from 1 species
CCUACGGGUGGCAGCAGUCGAGAAUCAUUCACAAUGGCGGAAACCCUGAUGGUGCGACGCCGCGUGGGGGAAUGAAGGUCUUCGGAUUGUAAACCCCUGUCAUGUGGGAGCAAAUUAAAAAGAUAGUACCACAAGAGGAAGAGACGGCUAACUCUGUGCCAGCAGCCGCGGUAAUACAGAGGUCUCAAGCGUUGUUCGGAAGCACUGGGCGUAAAUGGUGCGUAGGCUGUUUCGUAAGUCGUGUGUGAAAGGCGCGGGCUCAACCCGCGGACGGCACAUGAUACUGCGAGACUAGAGUAAGGGAGGGGGAACCGGAAUUCGCGGUGUAGCAGUGAAAUGCGUAGAUAUCGAGAGGAACACUCGUGGCGAAGGCGGGUUCCUGGACAUUAACUGACGCUGAGGCACGAAGGCCAGGGGAGCGAAAGGGAUUAGAUACCCGAGUAGUC